rnacentral:lncRNA from 1 species
UUUGCUCUUGUUCUCAUUGUAUUGUGCUUUGUAUAAUUAUUUACAGUAAGUCGCGCAUGUCAGUGUACAUUCCGUCUGGAAAUUGUUUCCAUUUGGUACAUUUUGUGCCAGUCGGUCUAUUCCUGCUCAUUAUUUUGUUUUUUCUACAUUCAGACUGAAACAUUUGGUAGCCUACAGAUACUCAGAAAUAGGCAAAGAAAGGUAAAAGGGGAGGAGGGGAGAUUGAAGUCAUACUUCCAUUAUCCCUCCCCGUGGUUAUCAGAUUCAUAAAAUUUUUACACCAUCAAAAGACAUUUUUAGCCAUAUAUGUUUCCUUUAUGUAGAAAAUGAGAUCUCCUAUACUCAGUUGGCAUUUGUUUUCAUGUAUCUGAUAAGUACCUGUUAGAAUUAUAGGUCAAGAUGUUGUCUAGCUCUGGUAACCUAGAUCCUGAACUUCAAAGCAGAGUUCUUGGACCUUAAGAAAUUCAAAUUUGUAGAAUUAUAGUUAGGAUGUCAUUUACUGACCUUGAACAACACAUUGUUUAGGUAGCAUACAAUGGGACUAGUUCAAGGGGCUGGGUGGAGAACAAGUUACAAUUUUUUCUGAUGGAGAACAUUACUGGAGACAGUACCCUUUAAAACUUUCAUUCCCUUUUUAUUAGCAGCUAACGUCUUGUAUGCCUUUACUAUGUGACAAGCAAUAAAAUAAUGUCCUUGGA